rnacentral:tRNA from 1 species
CGCGGAGUAGAGCAGUGGUAGCUCGUCGGGCUCAUAACCCGGAUGUCGUAGGUUCAAAUCCUACCUCCGCAA